UCAUCAAUUCAACUCAACUCAGAGAGCAAACCAGAGCAUAUCCACAUCCACCGAGCGAACAGAAAGAACAACUCGAUCAGUCACAGACAGAGUCUCGAAUCUUGCGUUCGAUUUGAUCGGAGAAGAUGGCGAGCAAGGGAGGCAACAAGGGGGAGGGCCCUGCGAUCGGCAUCGACCUCGGCACCACCUACUCCUGCGUCGGCGUAUGGCAGCACGACCGGGUGGAGAUCGUCGCCAACGACCAAGGCAACCGCACCACGCCGUCCUACGUCGCCUUCACCGACACCGAGCGGCUCAUCGGCGACGCCGCCAAGAACCAGGUCGCCAUGAACCCCACCAACACCGUUUUUGGUAAGCCCCGCCUGCCCCGGUCUCUUAUCUUAUACAGUAGAAUCCAUGCUCGUGCAGUGAGAGUACGUGCUCUGCCUUUUGCUCUGUUUUACGCUAAUGAGCAGUCACUUACCACUCUGCUCUGCCAUGCAGAUGCCAAGCGGCUCAUCGGGCGGCGCUUCUCGGACGCAUCCGUGCAGUCGGACAUGAAGAUGUGGCCGUUCAAGGUGGUCCCCGGCGCCGGCGACAAACCGAUGAUCGUGGUCAGCUACAAGGGGGAGGAGAAGACCUUCUCCGCCGAGGAGAUAUCCUCCAUGGUGCUCACCAAGAUGAGGGAGAUCGCCGAGGCCUUCCUCAGCACGACCAUCAACAACGCCGUCGUCACCGUCCCGGCGUACUUCAACGACUCCCAGCGCCAGGCCACCAAGGACGCCGGCGUGAUCGCGGGUCUCAACGUCAUGCGCAUAAUCAACGAGCCCACCGCGGCGGCCAUCGCUUACGGCCUCGACAAGAAGGCCACCAGCACCGGGGAGAAGAACGUGCUCAUCUUCGACCUCGGCGGCGGCACCUUCGAUGUGUCCAUCCUCACCAUCGAGGAAGGCAUAUUCGAGGUCAAGUCCACCGCCGGCGACACCCACCUGGGAGGCGAGGACUUCGACAACCGGAUGGUGAACCACUUCGUGCAAGAGUUCAAGAGGAAGAACAAGAAGGACAUCAGCGGCAACCCGAGGGCGCUCCGGCGGCUGAGGACGGCGUGCGAGAGGGCGAAGAGGACCCUCUCUUCCACCGCCCAGACCACCAUUGAGAUCGACUCGCUCUACGAGGGGAUCGACUUCUACGCGACCAUCACCCGUGCCAGGUUCGAGGAGCUCAACAUGGACCUCUUCCGCAAGUGCAUGGAGCCCGUCGAGAAGUGCCUCCGGGACGCCAAGAUGGACAAGACCCAAAUCCACGAC
rnacentral:lncRNA from 1 species